rnacentral:rRNA from 1 species
GCGGACAGAUGGGAGCUUGCUCCCUGAUGUUAGCGGCGGACGGGUGAGUAACACGUGGGUAACCUGCCUGUAAGACUGGGAUAACUCCGGGAAACCGGGGCUAAUACCGGAUGGUUGUCUGAACCGCAUGGUUCAGACAUAAAAGGUGGCUUCGGCUACCACUUACAGAUGGACCCGCGGCGCAUUAGCUAGUUGGUGAGGUAACGGCUCACCAAGGCGACGAUGCGUAGCCGACCUGAGAGGGUGAUCGGCCACACUGGGACUGAGACACGGCCCAGACUCCUACGGGAGGCAGCAGUAGGGAAUCUUCCGCAAUGGACGAAAGUCUGACGGAGCAACGCCGCGUGAGUGAUGAAGGUUUUCGGAUCGUAAAGCUCUGUUGUUAGGGAAGAACAAGUGCCGUUCAAAUAGGGCGGCACCUUGACGGUACCUAACCAGAAAGCCACGGCUAACUACGUGCCAGCAGCCGCGGUAAUACGUAGGUGGCAAGCGUUGUCCGGAAUUAUUGGGCGUAAAGGGCUCGCAGGCGGUUUCUUAAGUCUGAUGUGAAAGCCCCCGGCUCAACCGGGGAGGGUCAUUGGAAACUGGGGAACUUGAGUGCAGAAGAGGAGAGUGGAAUUCCACGUGUAGCGGUGAAAUGCGUAGAGAUGUGGAGGAACACCAGUGGCGAAGGCGACUCUCUGGUCUGUAACUGACGCUGAGGAGCGAAAGCGUGGGGAG